rnacentral:lncRNA from 1 species
UCAUCAUCUUCAAACAACAACAAUCUGAGUUAUCCCCUUCCACCCAUCUUAUUCUCAUCCAAUCUCUAAACCCUAGCCACCCUUAGGGGCGCCGGCGGCGGCGUUUAUGGUGGUACCAAUCCGGUUGUUCUUGAAUCUGAGCAAAGCAAAGGUGCGGCGGCUGAGUUAGGGGCGACGGCGGUGGAUGAGUUGAUGGUGGUGUUCUUGAAUCUGAGAUUUAGGUGAGAUGAUGUUGAUGGAUGAGAUGAUUUAGUUUGAUUUAAGUUCUUCAAUGUUUGGUGGUUGUAUAGAUCUGAAACAAAUGAUGAGAUGAUGUUGGUGGUGGUUAUG